rnacentral:rRNA from 1 species
AUACGUAGGUGGCAAGCGUUAUCCGGAAUUAUUGGGCGUAAAGCGCGCGUAGGCGGUUUCUUAAGUCUGAUGUGAAAGCCCACGGCUCAACCGUGGAGGGUCAUUGGAAACUGGGAAACUUGAGUGCAGAAGAGGAAAGUGGAAUUCCAUGUGUAGCGGUGAAAUGCGCAGAGAUAUGGAGGAACACCAGUGGCGAAGGCGACUUUCUGGUCUGUAACUGACGCUGAUGUGCGAAAGCGUGGGGAUCAAACAGGAUUAGAUACCCUGGUAGUCCACGCCGUAAACGAUGAGUGCUAAGUGUUAGGGGGUUUCCGCCCCUUAGUGCUGCAGCUAACGCAUUAAGCACUCCGCCUGGGGAGUACGACCGCAAGGUUGAAACUCAAAUGAAUUGACGGGG